GUGAAUGACGCGGUGAAGACAGCUUGAAAACGCCCUCUCCCCUUGUGGGAGAAGGUGGCGCGAAGCGCCGGAUGAGGGGUUUCUGGGCGGAUAGGGUGAUCGACCCCUCAUCCGUCAGCUGCGCUGACACCUUCUCCCGCAAGGGGAGAAGGAGCGUCACGGCCUACCCCUCAUCCCCCUCGAACCCUUCCAGCACCUCACGCGCCAGGGCCUUGGUCAGCUCCCGCCGGCCGUCGGCCGCGGCCUCGGCCAGCAAGGCCGCCGCGGCUUGCGCCUCGGCGGCCGAGCGGGGCAGGCGGGCCAGGAGGUAGGGAUAGAGAUCAGGCUCGGGCUUCCACCAGGCCGCGGCGAAGGCCCGGCGCAGCACCGCCUCCAGCACCGCAUCGUCGGGCUCGGCGAUUUCGGCGACCGACAAGGCGUU
rnacentral:sRNA from 1 species